rnacentral:rRNA from 1 species
GACGAACGCUGGCGGCGUGCCUAAUACAUGCAAGUUGAGCGCUGAAGGCUGGUACUUGUACCAACUGGAUGAGCAGCGCACGGGUGAGUAACGCGUGGGGAAUCUGCCUUUGAGCGGGGGACAACAUUUGGAAACGAAUGCUAAUACCGCAUAAAAACUUUAAACACAAGUUUUAAGUUUGAAAGAUGCAAUUGCAUCACUCAAAGAUGAUCCCGCGUUGUAUUAGCUAGUUGGUGAGGUAAAGGCUCACCAAGGCGAGGAUACAGAGCCGACCUGAGCGGGUGGUUAGCCAGAUUGGGAGUGAGACACGGCCCAAACGCCUACGGGUGGCAGCAGUAGGGAAACUUCGGCAAUGGGCGAAAGUCUGACCGAGAAACGCCGCGGGAUGGAAGAAGGUUGUCGGAUCGUAAAACUCUGUUUGUAGGGAAGAACGUGGGUGAGAGUGGAAAGCUCAGCAAGUGACGGUAACUACUCAGAAAGGGACGGCUAACUACGUG